GGAUUGGUGGUGGCAUGAGCCUCAUGAAUGAAUUUUUCUUUCCACAGCAAAAAAAGUACUUUAAUUGUCAUUGGGAGAAGAACAAAGGGCUUCAUAAUUACAAUAGAAUAAAUAUGAUAACUCAUUGUCAAAUUUUUACAGCAGUAUGUUGCCAGUUCCCUGCACCAUCUGCCCCAAAUCAGCAGACAACAAGAAACAGCAGGGCAGACGUUAUUAUGUCACACAGCAACAUGAAUCGUUUAACCACACACCAGCUCACAAGUCGCAACAUCACACAUUGAAAAGGCUUCACAACUUUGUACAUCUAUCACAUGGAACCACGUAGCAUAAAUUACUGAGUCUCAAACAAAAUCAAAGCGCAUGAGGAGUUUUACAGAUUUGUACUGUUCUCCCUUGUGAUCAUGGAGAGGAACUGCUCGAAUCCCCCUCCUUAACUCAGACACAGGGAGGCAUGUUUGACCUCCAAAGUCAUCCUUUUCGGACAAAUCAUACUCAUGAACCUCAAUUCUAAGCAAAGCCAACUCUGGAACGGUUAAUGGGAACUCAAAUUCCUCAUUCCACACAGGAAUCCAAUUGUCCUCCAAUGUCUUUGUCUUCUUCAUUAUAAUAUCUGCAGGGACACCAGCAAUUCCUACCUGCACAGAAAAAGUAAAUCUCAUUUAUACAUCAUUAAUUUCCACAAACCAAAUAUUGGGCAUUGAUUAAAACUUUCUGGUCAAGAGGGGGAGGGUGUCAGAAACAUGCUAUCCAGGCCUAUCCAGUAUUAACAGCAAAGGCCCCACUGAUAUUGCAAAAUAUCAAUACUUUAGAUCAACCAAAAUGAGGAUGGCAUCAUAGGUCAAACUAGACUGAGACUUGUGCAUAUCAAAAUUGCGUAGUACAAUAAUUUACUAACUCUGAAAAUAAGGGGAUGAAAAAGGAAAACUAAUCUACUUACCCUUGCAUAAAAAUCUGGUGGGGAAAAUGCAUCAAAAUGAGUGCGAUGGAAAUCAUUGCGCCAUCCUUCCCCCAUAUAUACUUUCACCUUCAAAGUUGUCUUCACCGGCAACUUAGCUCUAGGAUUAAAAACCUCACCAUGUGGACCAGACUUCAAUAGAAAAUCUGGUUUCUUCACAUAACCACAUCCACCAUUGGCUCUGAACAUUCCAUGCAUCAACCAAAGUGAUCUUCCAUAUCCCUGUCAAUAUCAUACAAAGUGAACCAGAAAGGUUUGAAAAAUUUAUCCUUCCAGUAUGUUUAUUUAAACAUAAAAAGUGAAUGAGAAAGGUGUGAAGAAUUUUAGAUCAUAAUUUGUUUCUUUGUUAAGGUUGCUAGUUCCCUCAUUGAGCUUGCAAGGUUGCUAGCUCCCUCUUGAGCUUGCAAAGGUUAAAGCUCCCACACAAAGCUCACAUUCGGCACCAUAGGUCAGGGAAAGAACAAGUCCAAAUCCCCUUUCCUUUGCGAUCGUCCCUCAACGCAAUCCUGCAUGUUAAAAGCAACCAUUUGAGCUCCAUGCAUCCACCCAAUCAUUGGGUUGUAAUUGGAGGAGUCCACACGUAUACCCUUCGGGUACACCCUAAGAAUAUUCUGCUGGGUAAACCUGACAAUUUCUUUUCCAUGAGUUUCUGCAGCCUUUUCAAGUUGUUGCUCACUUAAGCUAAGACGUCUAACUUUAUCAGGAUCCACUUUCAAACAUUCUUCUAUUCCACCUUUAGGUUUCCCAGCAUGAAUAGCGAUUAAAUGUUUAUAUUGUGGUGCAACAAUAUGCUGAGACUUAUUAUCUCCUUCAGGAAGAUCUUCAUCAUCAUUAUUAUCUCCGUCUAAUUCAUUCUUAUCAUCAGUCUGAAUAUGGCCUUUAAGGUCAGGGAUUUCUUGCCCCCAAGCUUCCUCAUCAGGUGCAGCCUUUCCGCUCUGUAAAUCAUUCUCCCUCUCCUUUAUUUCCUUGGCUUCCAGAUAUUCUUUUGGUGGUUUGGUUGAUAUUAUAAUUCGUUUCUUCAAUGAUUCUGGAGAGGGAAAUUCCUUUAAGCAUUCUGAGCCAGGAGAAAACAGGAUGUCUCCAAAUGUUUGAGUGAUCAUCUCAGCCACUUUAGCCUGAAGAUCUGGAGUAAGAUGGUCUUCUAGAGUUAUAACAACCGGAUACUCGGACGCACUAAAGGCAUGCUCCUUGAUGGACCUCAAACAUUUUAUGAGUUCGACUGGGGUUGUCAGUGUCCUCCCAUGAAGGACAUCCACAUUGUCUUUAGUGGAAUUAGGCCAUAUAUCCAAUUCAAUUACUCUCACACCUCUCUGCAGUGCAUUUAUGAUGGGGACAUCGCUGCAGUCACUACUAAGUUGAUUCCCAGUUAGAUAUGAAUUGUGCCCAGUAAAUAUGAAAUAGUGCGACAGAGGAGCAGUCAUAUCAUGGUGAACCUGAAACGCAAGGAAUCUCACCAAAAAAAUUGAAAAAGAGAAGAAGAUUCCAGUUCUGAAAAAUUAAAUAAAACAGGAACUAGACAGACAGCUACAGUUCACUCAGUUUUAUUCAAUUCAACUAUUGACCAAAAGAAAAUAUUAAUAAAUAAUAAACUACAUGAACUUAGAUCAACCAAAGAAGACACCUAAAGAGAAAGAACAAUAGUGACAAAAAGAAAUAAGAAAGGCACUAAUUAGUAACUUCAUUUCAAUCUUCCCGUUUACUUCUAGUUAACAACUGCACUAAAAACAGACCAGAUCCACCUCAAUAUUCAAAACUAUAGCACAUAAUCAGGCUAGAAUAUAAUUGAUCUUCCAAUAUUACAGAAAAAAAACUGAACAUAUGCAAACUUAUAAGCUAUGCAAAAACAGAUUCAAGCAUAACAUGGGAUUUUGUUCCACUAAUUGUGAUUUACUAAAGAGAUGUAAAAUACGAAAUUCAUCAGUUCUAGUAGGCAAAUUAACAGUUUGACUACUGCACAUUAAGUUUUCCCCCUAAAAACAACAAAGUCUCAAUCUUGAUUUCCUUUUCCACAUUAGGAAAGAAUCCAACACUCUAAGGAAGAAACCAAACAAAAACCUGACUAGGCGACAUCUAUAAUACUCCAAACAAAACCAAAACCAAGGGGAAAAAAGAAAUCGAUCAAACACCCAAAUUUUGGCCACCAAAUGAAAGGAGAGAUAAAAUUACCCCACGUUUAAGAUCGAGAGGAGGGUUAAUAUCGCCGAAAAGGUAUUUGAAAAAAAGCCUCGAAAUUGAGACCAAGUUGGAGCUCGUGGAGAUGAUAAAAGAUGUCCUGAGCGUCGCCUGUGGUAGCCUUAUCUUCCUUUUGGACCUCAACGAGGAACCUGCGUAGAUGAUCAAUGGUCAUGAUGCCAUUGUCUGAGUACCGUUCAAACAAUGCCUUGAUCUCCUCCGGCGCCACCGCAACCGCCAUACUGAACCGCUGGUGGAAGCAGAAUAAGCAGAGUCUAUAAUUGAAC
rnacentral:misc_RNA from 1 species